AAAAUUUUGAUAUCUCUCAAUUAAAUUAGGUGUUGUGCCACAAUCUUGUCUCUUUCAGACGCGUUGUAAUUGCACCACUGAUCAAAAUACAUUAUUCAUAACUUGUGUGAAAGUUAAGAGAAAACUUUACAUUUUAACUAUAAUAACAGUCAAAACUAGAUAAAAUUCACCUGAAAUGAUCGAAUCCAUAAUUGGUUGUACAUGUGGUGUUAAUAAAGAUGCAUGUUCUAUUGCUGCUAGAGAUAAAUAUGAAGCCAUAUUCCGGGAUAAUUCCUUAUUGCCCUUAUGUAAGAAUUUUACAGCUACAGGAGAUAAUAUCACUGGAAAUUUUUGCAUGGGGCGGAUCCUCAUCCCUGGACGUAAGUUGGAGGUUAUGGUGCAAACAAGACUCCAGAAGGGUGACAAGGGCUUUGCAGUGUUGUUCCACACUUCCAGUUUCUCGAAUACAAGAGGUCACUCGAGUCACACAUAUUUCUACCACACUUUGGUCGUUAUUAUUAUUUGUAUAAUCGGGCUGGGAUAUGAUUGUGUUGAUUUCUUUAAGCUACAAACAAAUCACGUAAAAUAUUGUAAAACAAUAUUUUUCUAAUUACAUAAAU